rnacentral:rRNA from 1 species
UACGGAGGGUGCGAGCGUUGUCCGGAAUCACUGGGCGUAAAGGGCGCGUAGGCGGCUUGGGAAGUCCGUGGUGAAAGCUCGUGGCUCAACUGCGAGUCGGCCAUGGAUACUCCUAAGCUCGAGCACUGUAGAGGCAGGUGGAAUUCCGGGUGUAGCGGUGGAAUGCGUAGAGAUCCGGAAGAACACCGGUGGCGAAGGCGGCCUGCUGGGCAGUAGCUGACGCUGAGGCGCGACAGCGUGGGGGAGCAAACAGG